UUCAUUAUGUGAAUGAGCCCUGAUAUUAUGUAAGUCAAACUGUUUAAUUUCCAUAUGAUUUGACUGCUUGUUGUUCCGAUGUUCGUGUUAAAAAAAAAAAGGGAAGAUGUAAUGAUUGGUAUCACCGUUAUAUGUGAAACUGCUUACCCAUAAAGCUGACGGUCACAGGAAGUGAAGCGUCAAUAAAAAAAAAAAAAAGGAAGUCCGCGUAAAAAGCGUGACACGUACCGCAUGGUGACUAGGCUUUGGGGGCUCAAGCCCCUGCCCUUUUUCAAAAUUAUUCAAAAGUGCCCCUCUCAGACAAAUAGCAAUGAUAUUGUGGUCAAUAAAACUAAAUGCAUUUGAAUUCUAAUUAACAUGAAAAUUUGUACAAAACAGUUACUAAUUUCUCAAAAGUCGGAAAAUUCCUGUUUAUUUUUACAUAUCUGUCAAUCUGAGGCGUAGGCUAGAUACGGGUUGCGUGCGUUUUGCUUGAUGACUGAUAUUCUAUAGUCUGUUCGGAAACUCUCCAGCCAUAGGCUAUGGUUCUUUCAGUGAGUGCCUAUGGGUCGAUGGAAGGAAAAAAUAAACAAAACAAUAUUUUAAACAUUUUUCAUCAAUAAUCAAAGCUAGUGUGUCGAUUUAAUAAAAAAUUAAUUAUGAAUUAAAUGGACAAAAAACGAGGAAGAAUUGACGUACCACUCCAUUGACGCAAUACAACAGACAGAGGAGUCGUAAAGACUGAACCUAGCCUACUGAAGCAGUCUAAACACACAUCGCAGGACUCGACAUCAACGCUUGUCCGCUUAUCCGGGACAAGUGGAUUUUUUAAAAGGCCAACUGAAAGAGAAUUUUACUUGCCCAACCGGACAAUUAGCCUAGCCUGAUUAAAACUCUAAUAACAAUCACCAAAACGCGAUAAUGAUUCUUUAUCGUUUAGUCUAAAUGGCGAUCGAUAUAGUGCAUAAUGUAAUGACGCUACCUGCGCUGCCUCUCUCGAGGAGAAAUAGAAACAAAUGAGGUCAUAUCUGUAAUGGUAAAGUGAUUAUAUUUCGUUUCGUUUUUUAUAAAGCUAAUACAAAAACGUUCGGAGCACUUUUUGUUCGUUAAAUGUAAGGUUUUUUUGUUUUUUAAGUAAUGAAGCGGCCAGCGGCAGACAGUGAGCUGAUCAUAGCCUAUGUUUGAUCAAUUUAGCCUUCUCUAAGCACCAGGACUUGCCUAAAAUAAAAUAUAUAGAAACAGUUCAAGCAUCACAAUGUUAGUUUAAAUGUUUAAACUAUAUAAAUGUGCGCUAGGUGCAUAUCUAAUCGUUUGUGUGGAGAGUGGAAGCUGAAGCGCGCUCUGCAGGACAUGGAGGCGCCAGAGCGGUCACUUGCAUUUAUUUCUUGAUAGUGGAAACAACUUCAAAUAUGCCGUAAUUUUUGCUUAUAAAGGUAAGAGUAAUACGUCAUUCGGAACUGUAAAGGGUCUACCUUUAUUUGUGUGCAUUCACAAUAUCAACAAAACGUUGUGCUUUUAUUAAAAUAAAUAGGAAAACAGAUGCGCUCGCCUUCACGUCUUGAAUAGGAGCGCUUCACUUGAACCGAAACUCAACGAAUUGAGUCACAAAUAUUAUAAAUAUAUCUAUAGAAAGCUUUAAAUUACUACUUUAAAACGAAAUAAUUCAAAUCGAAAACAAAAACUCUUUCAUUAUAAAGAUGCACUUCUCUCUAAAGGCACGUCCAAUGAGGAGAUGGCAAGUCAUUUUUCAUCGCCAUCUAAAAUAUAAAAAUAAGGAAAAGCCUAAAACAGGCCCGAUUAUAUUUUUUCUGAUUUUUAUGUUGCUCUGCUCUGAAUUCCCUAAGAUUUAAAGGAUUUUCUGGAACGCAAUUUGUUCUGAUGUGUGAAUUAUUUAUUAGCCUAUUUUUAAUCCAUGCAGCAAAAUAACUUUUAAAAUUACUUUAUUGCAUUCCAGAUGAUUUUAAAGAACUUUUCACUAUCAAUUUUACAGGUAGCUUGAAUGUAAAACAUUGUCAUGAAUUCGUUGUAUUCCCAUUUGUAAAAUAGGCUACAAAUUAAUUGUUGUAAUCUACCCCGAUCUCAUGAAAGUGCGUGAAGCACGAUUUUCUCUUUAUAUUUGACGCAAUGUUUAUAAGCAGAAAUUGACUUUGGCAUGCAAAAGACUGAUACAUUCAUUAUUAAUGGCAUGGUUCAGUCGACAGAAAUACGGGACAAACGGGCCUAUAAUUUACUGCUGAAAUGUUUGCGGGGCAAAUCUCAGGACAGUCUGAGCGCAGGCGCCACUGCAGUUAAGCAACAUCACACGACCAAGAGUGCUGAAUACCAUCACGAUUGAAAAUGUGACGCUGGCCUAUUGUACCGUGAAAAAUGAUCCAUACUUCAUAUCCCUAUUAUAAUUCGUCGUUAUUAUUUUAAAUCAGAGGGUUUUAAAAUGUUUAACCAAUGCCGAUCAUUAAAAAGAGCUUGUCAGUAAAACUUCGUAACGCCAUUGGAUCAUCAAGCUCUCAGCAAAAGCUCGUAACUUCACCCCGCCUCCUUUCAGAUUGACGCGCCGCGCACAGCCUGGAGGAGACAGAUAUCCGCUUUUUCGCAAUGCAAGGGUAAAUAAAUAAUAACUGAUGUUUGAAUAGUACAGCGUUUUCUUUACUCAGCAGGGCUGCGUUUCCCAAAAGCAUCGUAAGCUUAAGUACAUCGUAGACCCAUUGAAACCAAUGUAGCUACGAUCAUCUUAAGCUUACGAUGCUUUUGGGAAACGCAGCCCAGGCUCGUCCAGGGCGGGCACUAGUGACUCACAGGGCGGGCCAGGCCCCCCAUUGCCCGCCCAUGGCGCCGGGACUGGGUCUAAUUGACCAGCGAAAUUGUUUACGUAAUUUUCGCCCUAGCAGCAGCUUAUCAAAUGCAAGUGAACUUUUUAAACAUUUAAAUUAGCAUCAUUUUAUAUUUUAUUUAAUUGAAUUAUUUUACAGUAUUAUUAAAUACAGCAUUAUUUAUUAUGCCAAAGAUAAUUUAAUUGUUUCAAAAGUUUAAUUGCAUUUGAUAAUAUGAUGUCAUGAAUCCCACAAGCUGUUAAAUGUAACAUUCAUACACAUUAUACAUUAUUGAUAUUAUUCGACUCUUUCAUUUUAUAAAUAAAAAUGCAAUUACAAUUCCCAACCGCUAGAUGGCAGUUGUAGCCCGACUGAGACAUGAGGCAACGCGAGACGAAAGUUAGUAGAGAGCACUGUUGCGUUUUUAAUGUUGUUGUUUACACGAGAGAGAGCACUAGUUUAACUGUUGGAGAGCAGAGGGCAAACAACAAACCAUAAAGGACAUUCCUACUUGGUCUUGUAAGUAUCUGUGUUUUCAUUUUUACAUGUGUUUAAUAUUUAUCUGUAUUGUUUGUUAUCAUGUUUAGGAACCGUGACAUUUCAGUGAAGGGAGCAGAUCGUAGAUGAUAGUGAUCAGUGACUAGGCCCACGGUUCAGCAUGCAUGUGUUCAGAGGAUUAAUUGCUAAAUUUAAUAGAUAAUAGAGUAAAAGUUUUAUCAUUUGUACGUGUUUACAAAUUCAAGCUAUUUUAAAACAGCGCAAGAAGAGACGAAAGAGCAAACAAUAGAACAAGCACAGCUUUGCCAAAGAUUAAUUAUAUUAAUUUAUACAGUGAACACACUCAGAAGAAUUGGACAAACUGUCCUUAGCAACCUCAAAGACAGUGCCAGAAGGAUGCUGGACAGGGUUUUAAAAAAUUCCCUCAUGUCCAAAUUCAACGUAAAGGGGGGUGGUCUGCUGCAGGAGGAGGCAUUUGAAAAGACUGCACUGUUCUCGGUCAUUAGAUGCUGUGAUGACCAACUUCCCGGCAGCAACAGAGUUAGACUUGAGGAAUGCAGUUGGGAAGCAUUUUAAACAAGAAAUAAAACCAAUAAUUAAUAAUUUCCUUUAAGUUCACUGUUGGUUGUUUUAUUUGUUAAAAUAAGUAAACCAACAAAAGGGUUAAUCUUUUUUUUAUGUUGUCAUUUAUCCGUAAUGUGUUUUAUGUUAAGUGUGAUAACAUGCUCUUGAUUUGUAUUAGAUUUUUUUUCUUUUAAAUAUCUUAAGUUAUUUCAAAUAUUUUUUCAUUUUUAUUAUCGUAAGUUGUCAAAUUUCAGAUUUUUUUAUCAUAUUUAUAUUGAAGUGUAUUGUAUUUAUAAUAUUCUUGUCAUUAUGUCAUUAAUUCUUUUGUAUUUUUAUCAUUUUGUAUUGUUUUAAGUUGUCUAAGUUGUUAAAAAUGAUAUUUUUCUUAA